AUUGAACGCUGGCGGCAUGCCUUACACAUGCAAGUCGAACGGCAGCACGGGUGCUUGCACCUGGUGGCGAGUGGCGAACGGGUGAGUAAUACAUCGGAACAUGUCCUGUAGUGGGGGAUAGCCCGGCGAAAGCCGGAUUAAUACCGCAUACGAUCUACGGAUGAAAGCGGGGGACCUUCGGGCCUCGCGCUAUAGGGUUGGCCGAUGGCUGAUUAGCUAGUUGGUGGGGUAAAGGCCUACCAAGGCGACGAUCAGUAGCUGGUCUGAGAGGACGACCAGCCACACUGGGACUGAGACACGGCCCAGACUCCUACGGGAGGCAGCAGUCGGGAAUUUUGGACAAUGGGCGAAAGCCUGAUCCAGCAAUGCCGCGUGUAUGAAGAAGGCCUUCGGGUUGUAAAGCACUUUUGUCCGGAAAGAAAUCCUUGGCUCUAAUACAGUCGGGGGAUGACGGUACCGGAAGAAUAAGCACCGGCUAACUACGUG
rnacentral:rRNA from 1 species